rnacentral:tRNA from 1 species
GGGGGUGUAGCUCAGUGGUAGAGCGCUCGCUUUGCAUGCGAGAACUCCCGGGUUCGAACCCCGGCUCCUCCA